UAACAACGAACCGCAAGAAGUCAGCAGAGGCCGUAGUACCGUGGAAAAAAAACGGGAAGGGC
rnacentral:ncRNA from 1 species